rnacentral:rRNA from 1 species
GACGAACGCUGGCGGCGUGCCUAAUACAUGCAAGUUGAGCGCUGAAGGUUGGUACUUGUACCAACUGGAUGAGCAGCGAACGGGUGAGUAACGCGUGGGGAAUCUGCCUUUGAGCGGGGGACAACAUUUGGAAACGAAUGCUAAUACCGCAUAAAAACUUUAAACACAAGUUUUAAGUUUGAAAGAUGCAAUUGCAUCACUCAAAGAUGAUCCCGCGUUGUAUUAGCUAGUUGGUGAGGUAAAAGCGCACCAAGGCGAUGAUACAUAGCCGACCUGAGAGGGUGAGCGGCCACAUUGGGACGGAGACACGGCCCAAACUCCUACGGGAGGCAGCAGUAGGGAAUCUUCGGCAAUGGACGAAAGUCUGACCGAGCAACGCCGCGUGAGUGAAGAAGGUUUUCGGAUCGUAAAACUCUGUUGGUAGAGAAGAACGUUGGUGAGAGUGGAAAGCUCAUCAAGUGACGGUAACUACCCAGAAAGGGACGGCUAACUACGUG